rnacentral:rRNA from 1 species
AUUGAACGCUGGCGGCAUGCCUAACACAUGCAAGUCGAACGAGUGGCGGACGGGUGUGUAAUGUCUGGGACACUGCUUGAUGGAGGGGGACAACUACUGGAAACGGUAGCUAAUACCGCAUACCAUCAGAUGUGCCCAGAGGGGAUUAGCUAGUUGGUGGGGUAACGGCUCACCAAGGCGACGAGCCCUACAUGGUCUUGGAUGAUGACCGCCCACACUGGAACUGAGACACGGCCCAGACUCCUGCGGGAGGCAGCAGUGGGGAAUAUAGCACAAUGGGCGCAAGCCUGAUGCAGCCAUGCCGCGUGUCUGAAGAAGGCCUUCGGGUUGUAAAGUACUUUCAGCGGGGAGGCGUUACCCGCAGAAGAAGCACCGGCUAACUCCGUGCCAGCAGCCGCGGUAAUAC